UUUCAACAAAAAUAAUUCCAAAUAAAAUUUUGGAAGUUAAAAACUAUGAAUCAAAUAAAAUUGAAAUUGAUCAAUCGAAUGAUGUUAAAUGUGAUAAUAAAUGUUUAGAUGUUUCUGAAUCUUUAACAAACUCGAAUGUUGAUGAAAAAGUUGAAUUAUGUAUUCAAGGUGAUAAUAAAACCAUUCCAAAUAUUCCAGAUUUACUUUCGAUACCGACUGAAUGGAAUCUGUCUUGUGUUGAAUUGGCAGAGAAAAAGAGGACGAUAACGGAAUCUGAUAAUUCCUUAAAUGAUUGGGAAAUUAUAUAAUCACUUUAAAUAAAAAGUUUAAUAAGCAACGGCUUGUUAAGAAUAUUUUUUGUA